GGCUGGUCUAAAGGUAGUGAGUUAUCUCAGUUGAUUGUUCACAAUCAGUUACAGAUUGAUCUCCUUGUUUUACUCAUUCCCCUUCUCACUACUGCACUUGAUUAGUCUUUA
rnacentral:Y_RNA from 1 species